GGCUCCCAGCCGGUAAUGGGAGGCCUGGAGGGGGAUGGACUUUAAAAAGGAAGCAGAAAGGCCAGGAGGACGAGCUUCACUGGAGGUGGGUAAGUUUUGUUUCAGACCUGUAGGGCUGAAAGUGUUGACGAACACCUGGGAGAAAAUGUCCAGUCACCGUCACUGCAAAUGCGGGUCCGACCUUCAGGAGAGGGAUUUGGACUGAAGAUGUGGGUAGGAGCACCCUCUCUUAGACAAGAAAAAUUGAGACUAAGAGGAGAUGAGAUCGCUGGGGGAUCAUAAUUAAGUAAAAACUUGUAUCUCUAAAAUCCGUCCUGACAUUUUCAUUUAUAGGAUAUACAUAUGUAUGUAUCUGUUAUAAUCUGAAAUGUGUCCCUCAAAAUUCAUAUUUGAAGCCCUAACCUCCUCAUACCUCAGACUGGGACUGUAUUUGGAGAUGAGGCCUUUAAAAAGAUAAUUAAGGUAAAACGAAGGCAUUAGAAUGGGCUCUAAUCCAAUAUGUCAGGAGUCCUUAUAGGAAGAGGAGAUGAGGACACAGACACCCACAGAGGGAAGACGGUGUGAGGACACAGGGAGAGGACACCAUCUGCAAGCCCAGGAGGGAGGCCUCAGGAGAAACCAAUCCCGCCCACACCUGGAUGUGGGGCUUCCAGCCCCCAGCACUGCGAGGGAAUAAAGCUCCGUUGUGUAAGCUGCCGCAUCUGUGGUAUUUUAUUAUGGCAGCCCCAGCUACUAAUACAGUACCCCUACCGAUACAUACAUAUUUACCCACAUGUAGCCACACACAUGUGCACAUAUGUAAUCUUUUUGCCUAUAAAAAAGUAAGCAAUGCCUAAAAGUACAGGUGGAGAGAAGGCUAAAAAGCACAGGCUCGAAGAGACUGCCAAGAUACAACGAUCCAACAAAGACACAUCGUAUCAACAGUAAUGAUUUCCUAAAUGUGAAGGUAAUUUGGAUGGCUGGUUUAUAGUUUUCAUGCCCGGGAGUUUUCCAAGGCACAAUGUAUACCCUUUGCGGCAGCUUACUCUCCUGAAAUGUGCCUUCAUGAAAUUAGAUAAACAGGGAGAAGAUAUGAAGUACAUCUGCCUAACACCACGUUAGAAGAAUCCCCGGGCAUUUGCAUCUUAUGCGAUGAUAUGCUGGCAAACCUUGGCCAACUUCCAGUCUUGUCCUUAUGACAGGGGACUGCUGUGUUGAGUUCCCGUCUCAGGCCUCACAUCCACCUUGGCCCUGCCUUGGGAGCCUGUAGGUGUGGGCAGAAAAGAGGGACGCUGCCUUCCUGGCUGGGCCUUUCUUCACACACAGGCACGAGGACCCAAGCUCUAAAGGAUGAAGUCCCCAUGGUCUCCGAAGUUUUCAUUAUCAUCCCCCUCCUAAAGCUCCACCUUGGAGGCAAUGCACUGUAACAAAAGGACCAGCACAGUGCCCAGCACACAGAAAGCUAUCAAUCAAUGUCAGCCUUAACCAUUAUGUUGGUUGACUUGCCAUCCCUCUUCCUCAACUGCAAACUAUGUGAGAGAAAGAUUCAUGUAACCUUGGUAUUACACAACUCCAUCGUGGUGGGUUCAGUUGCAUUUGUCAAAUGAUUCAGAGUAGGACAACGGGAAUUUUCUUUACAACAUCACAGCAUUGUAAAGUCUUUGCUUUGCACGAAAGUGUGGGACUGAAGAAAUGAUUGUGCAGGUUGAAACUGUGAAGCAAUUUUAAGAAGCAACAAGGAAAAUUAUGAUUGUUUCAUAAUCUUCAAAAAAUUUUUAAAGUGUUAAGAACUGUUUUACUACUGGUCGUAAAUGUAUAAGAACAUUUAAAGAUAGCAAAUUGAAUACUUAUUUAGCCU
rnacentral:lncRNA from 1 species